AGUGCACUCUGGUUAAGAUGUAAGCUGGGUGAAGGGUAUGCAGGACUCUGUGCUAUUUUUUGCAAUUUCCCAUGUGUCUAGUUUUUUUUUUUUUAAUGCCAUAAAUAUGUUUGGAAGGCAAACGACAAGCCAGGAAAAUACCUGCAAUGGAUAUGAUAAGAUUUUAUGUCCAUCGCAUACCGGUCCUUGCUAAUAGGGGAGAGAGGCGCGCUUGCACCAGGAAAAGAGUCAGGCGCACACACAGGGAACCUCACACAGCCUCGGGGACCUUUGGCUGACGGAACCCCCAGCAGUGGUGAAGGGAACAAGUGGCCAUGGAUCAGCAGGAAGAAACACACAUUUCUAACCUGCCACCUCUGAGAUAUCGAGACCUGCUAAGUGGGUUAAGUGAAAGACGUCGUGCUUCUGAGAGGAUUGUAAGCAUUCAUCGGCUGAGCUUCCUAAACAGUUUGAAAUCGGCAACAUAGUCCAAUUUGCACCCUAUAUGACAACAGCAAUGAAAAAAUGUCUUCAUGUGAGGGUAAGAAAAGAAAAAGAGGUGGAGCUUCUCAGAGGAUGGAAGGGGUGAUCACACUCAGCAAGACUGUUCUGCGCCAGAAACUCCGGUGCCACACAUACCGUCUACACAGGCACAGUCGUCAGUCUCCCCAGGUCUCUGCUGUGGGGACAAACAUAAAAAGGGGGUUUCCAGAUCUCCGAACCACGGCGUCAAGUCUCUGGACAAGCACAGCUGCAAAAGGAAGACAAGGUGGCCCACAGAGCACUUGGCCAGAAGGAUGCGGUGCCUCGGGUAUUGCUGCCCUGGCAAAGGGUGGCAGACGGAAUAGGCCACCUGCCACACCCUCUGCUGGGCCCUCAAGCGACACAUCAGGACAGUAGGCUCUGUCCUCCCUGGGCCAUUCUGAUGAGGAGUGGGGCAUCUUCCAGCCAGGGCACGGCGCCCCUCCCCCUUUUGUGCUGAGGUGCCCGGGACUGACUGCAAAGACCAUCGUGCCUUUGGCUCCAUCACCACCUGGACUCUGCACUCAGAAAGGCCCCAUCCCCACCCCCAGGGCUUCGAAGGAACUGUGGGCGGGGGCAACACUUCCAUCUGGAAUCCUUUAAUGAGACUACUCCUUACACGCGUAAUUAUAAAAGAAUAAGA